GGGAAACUGACACUGCACACCUCUGAGCAAGGAAAGUCAUCUUGGAAAACCACUGGUGCUGUGUGGAGUCCAGAGUCCCAGCAGCCCAUUGGAUGUGAAGUUGAAUGUGAAGAGAGAGAAGCUGAGCACAAGAAAUGGACUGGGUUGUUUUGGUUUGGCCAACCCCAAACUGAGUUUGGCCACAAGGCAAAGACACAGUCAGUUUUUGUGUCAAACGUGGGGUCUUUUUAUAGAAGGCUUUAUUUGCAUACUAUGCAGUAAAGCUCUUCCGUGUAUCCCAUUUCUCUGAGGCACUACAGCUCUAACUCGUGCCCAUGGGAUUUGAUAGGACCUUUUAGGAUGCUAAAACCCCUUUGUACUUGUCUAGGGUUCUUUCUCUACCACGCACAGAAAGUGCUAGAGUUUUCUUCUUCUCCAUAGAUGACGCACGCCUAAGAGAUAAUUACCUCAUAGCUAUAGGAACGUUUAGAGCUUAGCAGAAAAAUAGUCACUAGACAGGUUAGCGAGACAUUUGGGAUCCUUUCAGGGCCUAAAGUUAUUUUUUGUAGAU